rnacentral:snRNA from 1 species
AUUGUAUACUGAUAAUUUCACGUGGAACGAUGCAGAGAAGUUUAGCAUGGCCCCUGCGCGAGACUACAGUAAAAGUCAUAAUUUCAACCAGAUAUUG